AAAUCAAACCACAGUGUGACUGAUGAAUGUGCUACAGUGGAAGAACAUUGUUCAUCUGCUGUGUGUCUGACUUUAAUAACUCCAAAGACAUGUUGCUUUAUGUCUUUUUGCUUUUUUCUCAGGUUUCAGGACUAAUCGCUGAAACCACAAUCUCUCCUGUAGAAGAUGAAGUCAGUGGAACAGAAGGACAAUCUGUCACACUCUCAUGCACCUAUAUGACAACCAGUGAUUAUGCUUAUCUUUACUGGUACAAACAUCUUUCUGACCUUCAGGCUCCUCAGUUUAUACUUUGGAAACAAGGAAAAGGGGGCUCAGCUGAACAUUUUCCUGAUAAACGUAAAUAUGGAUCCCAAACAUCAGAUACAUCAACUACAUUGACCAUCAGAGAGCUAACCCUGGCAGACACAGCUCUCUACUACUGUGCUGUGGAGACACAGUGA